rnacentral:tRNA from 1 species
GCCCAGGUGGUGGAAUUGGUAGACACGCUAUCUUGAGGGGGUAGUGGCCUAUGGUCGUGCGGGUUCAAGUCCCGCCCUGGGCA